AAGUAGUGCACUAUAUAGGGAAAAGGGGCCCUGGUCAAACGUUGAGUGGUGCACCAUUUGGGACAUAUCCACUAAGACCAGUUAGUUAUUCCAGACAGAGGCAGUUUAGACAGUUUGAUCUAGUUUGAUCUAGUUUGAUCUGGUUGGAUCUGGUUUGAUCUAGUUUGACUUGGUCAUGUUAAUGUUUGUUCUCACGCUCCUUCCUAUACCAUAUCUCCCUUAGUACAUCUCUCUGUUCCUCUCCAUGUCAGGGGUUCCCUAAUGUUUUAACUCGGGGUCCCUCUUCCAGCAUUGAGGAACCCCUCCCCCAUUUCUAUGGGUUCCUCUCCCCUCUAUGUGAUGUUCUGUAUGGGCUCCUCUCUCCUCUAUGUGAUGUUCUGUAUGGGCUCCUCUCCCCUCUAUGUGAUGUUCUGUAUGGGCUCCUCUCCCCUCUAUGGGUUGUUCUGUAUAGGUUCGCUGAUCUUCAGACAGCCCCAGUAGAUCAUUCUGCACAUGCUCAGUACAGCCAGGAGAAUCAGGAAGACCCAGGAGGCAUAGAUCCCUCUGUUGAGCAAGGCUGAUUUACACGUUCCCACCUAGAGGGGGAAACAGAGAGGGGGAAAAAAAACAGAGAGGUUAGAGUACUAGGCAUAGUUCCAUCUGGCUUCAAUGUUCCCACCUACAGAUGCUUACACACACACACACAAUUGUGACUGAAAUAGUAUCUUCAGAAACUAA
rnacentral:lncRNA from 13 species